AGUUAGUAAUAAGAUUAAGAGUUCUUUGAGAGGUUAAGUGUUAGUCUUGCUUCCUAGGAGCUCUGUACGAGCAAUACAACCAUGCUCGUAUAUCUCCGAAGUUUCAUAUCCAAAUUCCAACAAAGCAUACUCCAAAACAGUCCUAAUCUUCAAAUUCUGAGGAUUAAGGAAUGCAAUCAUUUUCAAGGCUUUGGUGUAAAUGAUGAAGAGACGGGGAAGAACGUGGUUGCUCUGUAUCGCACUGAUGUGUACAAUGGUUCUCUUCGAAGCUUGGCUUUGGUCGAUUGCCCAGUUCUUAAGUUUUUUCCAGAUUUACGAGGAUGGACUUCUUCUCUUCAGACACUAAUCAUCUUCAAAUGCCCACAAGUGAAGGAGUCUUUAACCUAUGAUCUCAAAUCCAUCUCAUUUCUUAAAGUUCUUCAAGUUAAUUUUAUUCAAAGACACGAGGAGAUCCAUCUGCCAUAGAAGACUUGAUGAAUUUGAUGAAGUAUUAGGUACGUGCAAUUGGAACCCUAUCUGAAAUCCAUUACUGUAUGCUGAAUUUAUUCAAGGAGACAGAAGGGUGGAGAAGAUCGAUCUAUUAAAUAAGACUUGAUUAAUUUGGUUUUUUUGUGCAUCUGAAUGAAUAGAAUGGAAGCAGCAGAGAUGAUGAUAAAGCAGGGCCCAUUAUCUUGUCAGAUAUCGUACUUAGCUCAACAUUUCAUAUUUGUGAGUAGACUUUCUGCAGUUGGAAAAGAUUUGCUUUGUCCUGGAACAUUUAGUUCUGUUGCAGACGAUGGAACAAUUAGAGCAUCAGGCAGAGUACAGUUAUGAGGUCAUCCUUUGCUUCUCUAUUGUGGAACUUGGAGUACGAGUUGAGAAAGCCACUGCACCAAUUGACAUUGCAAGUGAAUAAUUCUACUGGAAAGCACAGACUGGACUGAUGAUGGUACACUAGCCCACUCCUUUAAGACUUCAUUAACAGUUAGAGAAAUUAGGGCCUGAGGUGCUUUCAGAGUGUUCUUUUUGGCUGCUCUGUUUUAAAAUUACAACGUAUGUCAUGUGUUAUAUGGAUGCUGCUAUAGUAAUCUGCUUGACUCUCUUAUAGAAUGAAUGUCAUGGUUUCCGAAAAAGUGUAGUUGCCUACAAAUUCCCAACUGUAAUGGUAGUGCACAAUGAAAUACGAAAUAGAAACCCUUU